GGGCUGGCUGAGUGCUGCAGGGACCUGCACAUGAUGAAAUACCCCCCCAGUGCCACCACCCUGCACUUCGAGUUCUACGCCGAGCCGGGCGUCGAGGUGAAGGUGGACAAGAGGGCCACCAGCACCACCCUGCACUACAUCCACAUCGAGCAGCUGGACAAGGUGAGUGUGG